rnacentral:rRNA from 1 species
GAUGAACGCUGGCGGCGUGCUUAACACAUGCAAGUCGAACGGAAAGGCCCAAGCUUGCUUGGGUGCUCGAGUGGCGAACGGGUGAGUAACACGUGGGUGGUCUGCCCUGCACUUUGGGAUAAGCCUGGGAAACUGGGUCUAAUACCGGAUAGGACCAUCGUUUAGUGUCGGUGGUGGAAAGUUUUUCGGUGUGGGAUGAGCUCGCGGCCUAUCAGCUUGUUGGUGGGGUAAUGGCCUACCAAGGCGUCGACGGGUAGCCGGCCUGAGAGGGUGUACGGCCACAUUGGGACUGAGAGACGGCCCAGACUCCUACGGGAGGCAGCAGGGGGGAAUAUUGCACAAGGGGCGCAAGCCGGAUGCAGCGACGCCGCGGGGGGGAGGACGGCCUUCGGGUUGGAAACGCCUUUCGCCAAGGACGAAGCGUUUUGUGACGGUACUUGGAGAAGAAGCACCGGCUAACUACGUG